GAUGAACGCUGGCGGCGUGCCUAAUACAUGCAAGUCGAGCGAACAGAUGAGGAGCUUGCUCCUCUGACGUUAGCGGCGGACGGGUGAGUAACACGUGGAUAACCUACCUAUAAUACUGGUAUAACUUCGGGAAACCGGAGCUAAUACCGUAUAAUAUAUUGAACCGCAUGGUUCAAUAGUGAAAGACGGCUUUGCUGUCACUUCUAGAUGGAUCCCAGCCGCAUUAGCUAGUUGGUAAGGUAACGGCUUACCAAGGCAACGAUGCGUAGCCGACCUGAGAGGGUGAUCGGCCACACUGGAACUGAGACACGGUCCAGGCUCCUACGGGAGGCAGCAGUAGGGAAUCUUCCGCAAUGGGCGAAAGCCUGACGGAGCAACGCCGCGUGAGUGAUGAAGGUCUUCGGAUCGUAAAACUCUGUUAUUAGGGAAGAACAAAUGUGUAAGUAACUAUGCACGUCUUGACGGUACCUAAUCAGAAAGCCACGGCUAACUACGUG
rnacentral:rRNA from 1 species